CAGGCAGACCCUGAACACCCCAUCCCUCUCCCUGCACCCCAGGAUGGCCCUAUAUGGGGGUCCCCCUCUAAGGGAAAGAGCCCUUACGUGCUGCUACUGCCGUCCUCAGAAGAGACCUGACAUCACGCAGCAGCCCUGCAUGUGCCUGGGAAUGCUUCCUGCUCCCUGCUGCUUGAGAGAGAAGGUAUUUUUCACAUAACGGGAAUAAACAGCACGCUGGUUUGGUGCCUCUCAGGUCCCAAAGAUUAUACGCCUCUUCCAGGUCCAGGUGCUAUCUCCCUUAACUGUGCCGCCCACCAAACUGCACUUACCUUUUCUUUGCACCUCUUUGGAAAUGAAGAGCAAUUCCACUGAAAUCGAUGAACAUCAAGAUGUGUAAAACAAAAGAUGAGCCUACAGGUCUCUGCAUUACAGCACCUUUCAUAAAUAAACUCAGCAGGGUGAGUUAUUCUGCUGGGAACCAAAAGAAAAAAAAUCAGUAGCUUGUUUUUUUGCCUCGUUUCUUUGGGCGAGGCGCUGCGAGGAUCAGCAAGAUUUUGCAAACGCCUCACUGUGAAGUGCCAGAGCUGCGAGCGUAGCAGGACUCCCAGCCCCGGCUGCCAAACAAAAGCCGUGACUGCUUUUCCCUCAGCCUCCCAAAGGGACCGGGCCACUGCCAGCUGCACCUACGUGCGAGGGAUUCGUUUCACCGAUGUGUGACCGAAGGAGUGAGAAGCAGAUUGGCGCUGGCAGGGAGAGAAACCCGCAGAGGGCGAUCAGGUGUCCCUGGGCAAGAACACGGGGCUGUAGCGGCUGAGAUUUGCUGAAGAUAACAGCUCGGGUCUGUCCCAGCUCGCUUCUCCAGCCACUGCUAGCCCGUCCCUCCUCUUCUUUAAAUACUUCCAGCUCACACCUUCCCGGGCAAUGCUGCAAGGACGGCACGCACGGUGCUGGAGAUGGCGUGGGUGCAGCCGCCCCAGGGCUCCCGGUCUCGCAGCAGGUAAACAGUGGUCUGUCCUUCUCCCUCCUUGUGCAAAAUCCGUCCCGUGGAGCCUGCAGCCAGGGUUGAAACCGCACUAACAGCUCUUUCCGUCUUCUUUUUACUUAGCUUCUCUUAAUUUCAUGGUUUUAUAGCCUUAAUGGGGGGAGGAGGGAAGAAUGUAGGUGUGAAGAGGCAGAGAUGGGUGAUGUACUGACCAGCCUUUCCUAUGUGAGAACUAAGAAAGCUGAAUCGCUCUUAAGCAUGAUACGAGCAGCAUGCUAACGUGUUCAAAUACAUAACUUUUAUCAUUUAAUUAUACAUUGUCUAAUUAAAGCUGUGUCUGGACAGGA